rnacentral:rRNA from 1 species
UGAGGAAUAUUGGUCAAUGGGCGAGAGCCUGAACCAGCCAAGUAGCGUGCAGGAUGACGGCCCUAUGGGUUGUAAACUGCUUUUAUGUGGGGAUAAAGUGCGUGACGUGUCAUGCAUUGCAGGUACCACAUGAAUAAGGACCGGCUAAUUCCGUGCCAGCAGCCGCGGUAAUACGGAAGGUCCGGGCGUUAUCCGGAUUUAUUGGGUUUAAAGGGAGCGUAGGCUGUCUAUUAAGCGUGUUGUGAAAUUUACCGGCUCAACCGGUGGCUUGCAGCGCGAACUGGUCGACUUGAGUAUGCAGGAAGUAGGCGGAAUUCAUGGUGUAGCGGUGAAAUGCUUAGAUAUCACGACGAACUCCGAUUGCGCAGGCAGCUUACUGUAGCAUAACUGACGCUGAUGCUCGAAAGUGCGGGUAUCAAACAGG